rnacentral:rRNA from 1 species
AACAGAUUUACUUCGGUAAUGACGUUAGGAAAGCGAGUGGCGGAUGGGUGAGUAACACGUGGGGAACCUGCCCCAUAGUCUGGGAUACCACUUGGAAACAGGUGCUAAUACCGGAUAAGAAAGCAGAUCGCAUGAUCAGCUUUUAAAAGGCGGCGUAAGCUGUCGCUAUGGGAUGGCCCCGCGGUGCAUUAGCUAGUUGGUAAGGUAAAGGCUUACCAAGGCGAUGAUGCAUAGCCGAGUUGAGAGACUGAUCGGCCACAUUGGGACUGAGACACGGCCCAAACUCCUACGGGAGGCAGCAGUAGGGAAUCUUCCACAAUGGACGCAAGUCUGAUGGAGCAACGCCGCGUGAGUGAAGAAGGUUUUCGGAUCGUAAAGCUCUGUUGUUGGUGAA